rnacentral:rRNA from 1 species
GAUGAACGCUAGCGGCAGGCUUAAUACAUGCAAGUCGAACGGUAAGUUUGGUAGCAAUACCAAACCAAGAGUGACGUACGGGUGCGUAACACGUAUGCAACCUACCUUGUACAGGAGUAUAGCUCGGGGAAACUCGAAUUAACCCUCCAUGAGAUCAUAGAAUGGCAUCAUUUAGUGAUUAAAACUCAGGUGGUACAAGAUGGGCAUGCGUCUGAUUAGUUAGNGGUGGGGUAAUGGCCCACCAAGACGAUGAUCAGUAGGGGACCUGAGAGGGUGAUCCCCCACACUGGCACUGAGAUACGGGCCAGACUCCUACGGGAGGCAGCAGUAGGGAAUAUUGGUCAA